UACGGGGGGAGCAAGCGUUGUUCGGAUUUACUGGGCGUAAAGGGCGCGUAGGCGGCCUCUGCAAGUCGACUGUGAAAUCUCCGGGCUUAACCCGGAAAGGUCAGCCGAUACUGCAGGGCUAGAGUGCAGAAGGGGCAACUGGAAUUCUCGGUGUAGCGGUGAAAUGCGUAGAUAUUGGGAAGAACACCUGAGGCGAAGGCGGGUUGCUGGGCUGAUACUGACGCUGAGGCGCGAAAGCCAGGGGAGCAAACGGG
rnacentral:rRNA from 1 species